UACAGAGGGGGCGAGCGUUAUUCGGAAUUAUUGGGCGUAAAGGGCGCGUAGGCGGCCUGGUGUGUUUACGGUGAAAUCCCUCGGCUUAACCGAGGAACUGCCGUGAAAACUGCCGGGCUCGAGGCCGAAGAGGGUGGUGGAAUUCCCAGUGUAGCGGUGAAAUUCGUAGAUAUUCGCAAGAACACCAGUGGCGAAGGCGGCUCACUGGCCCGAUACUGACGCUGAGGCACGAAAAGCGUGGGGGAGCGAACAGG
rnacentral:rRNA from 1 species